rnacentral:rRNA from 1 species
AGAGUUUGAUCCUGGCUCAGAUUGAACGCUGGCGGCAUGCCUUACACAUGCAAGUCGAACGGCAGCACGGGUGCUUGCACCUGGUGGCGAGUGGCGAACGGGUGAGUAAAGUAUCGGAACGUACCUUUCAGUGGGGGAUAACGUAGCGAAAGUUACGCUAAUACCGCAUAUUCUGUGAGCAGGAAAGCAGGGGAUCUUCGGACCUUGCGCUGAUUGAGCGGCCGAUAUCAGAUUAGCUAGUUGGUGAGGUAAAGGCUCACCAAGGCGACGAUCCGUAGCGGGUCUGAGAGGAUGAUCCGCCACACUGGGACUGAGACACGGCCCAGACUCCUACGGGAGGCAGCAGUGGGGAAUUUUGGACAAUGGGGGCAACCCUGAUCCAGCCAUGCCGCGUGAGUGAAGAAGGCCUUCGGGUUGUAAAGCUCUUUCGGCCGGGAAGAAAUCGUGUGGGCUAAUACCCUGCAUGGAUGACGGUACCGGAAUAAGAAGCACCGGCUAACUACGUGCCAGCAGCCGCGGUAAUACGUAGGGUGCGAGCGUUAAUCGGAAUUACUGGGCGUAAAGCGUGCGCAGGCGGUUUUGUAAGACAGGCGUGAAAUCCCCGGGCUUAACCUGGGAACUGCGCUUGUGACUGCAAGGCUAGAGUACGGCAGAGGGGGGUGGAAUUCCACGUGUAGCAGUGAAAUGCGUAGAGAUGUGGAGGAACACCGAUGGCGAAGGCAGCCCCCUGGGCCGAUACUGACGCUCAUGCACGAAAGCGUGGGUAGCAAACAGGAUUAGAUACCCUGGUAGUCCACGCCCUAAACGAUGUCAACUAGGUGUUGGGUGGGUAAAACCAUUUAGUACCGUAGCUAACGCGUGAAGUUGACCGCCUGGGGAGUACGGCCGCAAGGUUAAAACUCAAAGGAAUUGACGG